GGCAACAUGGCCGAGUGGUCUAAGGCGCCAGAAUCAGGCUUAUCCAUUGGGAUAUGCUCUCAUCUGGUCACUCUGUGGCGAGGGUUCGAAUCCCUCUGUUGUCA